rnacentral:ncRNA from 1 species
UAAAACACUAUGAGAAAGAAAGUAAAAUGAUAAGAAUUUUCUAACAGAAAGCUUCGGUAGCUGAGAAGAAGCGAAACAUUCCUCAUUUGAAAAUGGCUUUUGAGUGGGUACUUCGAAUUUUUUUAGAAGUACACGGAGGUUCCCGUUAAAAAAACAGCAAUAUCGCUUAUUUGAGCCGUAUUGAUCGAGGUAAAAGUGGAAACUUUUACGAAUUAAGGUGGUACCAUGUAUUCAUACAUCCUUAGA